rnacentral:rRNA from 1 species
UGGGGAAUAUUGCACAAUGGGCGAAAGCCUGAUGCAGCAACGCCGCGUGAGGGACGACGGCCUUCGGGUUGUAAACCUCUUUUAGCAAGGAAGAAGCGAAAGUGACGGUACUUGCAGAAAAAGCGCCGGCUAACUACGUGCCAGCAGCCGCGGUAAUACGUAGGGCGCAAGCGUUAUCCGGAAUUACUGGGCGUAAAGAGCUCGUAGGCGGUUUGUCGCGUCUGCUGUGAAAACCCGAGGCUCAACCUCGGGCCUGCAGUGGGUACGGGCAGACUAGAGUGCGGUAGGGGAGAUUGGAACUCCGUGGUGUAGCGGUGGAAUGCGCAGAUAUCAGGAAGAACACCGAUGGCGAAGGCAGAUCUCUGGGCCCGUAACUGACGCUGAGGAGCGAAA